AUACGGAGGAUGCAAGCGUUAUCCGGAUUUAUUGGGUUUAAAGGGUGCGUAGGCGGGACUGUAAGUCAGGGGUGAAAUACUGCAGCUUAACUGUAGCAUUGCCUUUGAAACUGCCGUUCUUGAGUACAGUUGAGGUAGGCGGAAUGUGGGGUGUAGCGGUGAAAUGCAUAGAUAUACCACAGAACGCCGAUUGCGAAGGCAGCUUACUAAGCUGUUACUGACGCUGAGGCACGAAAGCGUGGGGAUCAAACAGGAUUAGAUACCCUGGUAGUCCACGCUGUAAACGAUGAUUACUGGUUGUUAGCGAUAUAUAGCUAGUGACUGAGCGAAAGCAUUAAGUAAUCCACCUGGGGAGUACGUCGGCAACGAUGAAACUCAAAGGAAUUGGCGGGG
rnacentral:rRNA from 1 species